CAGCCGCCACGGGAAUACGUAGGGACCAAGCGUUGUCCGGAAUCAUUGGGCGUAAAGCGCGCGUAGGUGGCCAUUUAAGUCCGCUGUGAAAGUCAAAGGCUCAACCUUUGAAAGCCGGUGGAUACUGGAUGGCUAGAGUACGGAAGAGGCGAGUGGAAUUCCUGGUGUAGCGGUGGAAUGCGCAGAUAUCAGGAGGAACACCAAUAGCGAAGGCAGCUCGCUGGGACGUUACUGACACUGAGGCGCGAAAGCGUGGGGAGCAAACCGGAUUAGAUACCCCCGUAGUCCCUGUCUCUUAUAC
rnacentral:rRNA from 1 species